GACGGACAACGGUCGUACGGAUUGGUGAGAGAAGAUCACAUCUGGCAACGCUUUUGUUUUAUACUCAUAUCGAUAACGACCGCGUCCACUGACAGAUGACAAGGACGUCCGGCCCGGGGCAAAAGUUUCUCGCUAAAAGAGAAUCCAGUCGCGCUACAAAGCUGGGAAAGGAACAAAUGAAAUAGCGGUGCAGAGUAUAAAGAAGCUCCGGAAACGGUCGGAAGAAACACGGAGCGCAAAGAUUUAAUCUGAACGAUGAUCAAGACCCGAGAAGUGCAGAUGGCAGUCUGAAUUCAAAGAGGAGUAUAUUCGUUUAUUUUUUCUUCGCAUUUUUUUUAGUCUUUUCGAAUGUAGUAGAUAGUAAACUGUGUUUGUAGAAUGUAGAAUGUGAACUGUAAUGUAG